GGGGCUGUGGCUCAGUGCUAGAGUACUUGCCUAGCAUGUGCAAGGCACUGAGUUCGAUUCUCAGCACCA
rnacentral:tRNA from 1 species